rnacentral:rRNA from 1 species
AUUGAACGCUGGCGGCAUGCCUUACACAUGCAAGUCGAACGGCAGCACGGGUGCUUGCACCUGGUGGCGAGUGGCGAACGGGUGAGUAAUACAUCGGAACGUACCUUAUCGUGGGGGAUAACGCAGCGAAAGCUGUGCUAAUACCGCAUACGCCCUGAGGGGGAAAGCGGGGGAUCGAAAGACCUCGCGCGAUUAGAGCGGCCGAUGCCUGAUUAGCUUGUUGGUGGGGUAAAAGCCCACCAAGGCGACGAUCAGUAGCUGGUCUGAGAGGACGAUCAGCCACACUGGGACUGAGACACGGCCCAGACUCCUACGGGAGGCAGCAGUGGGGAAGUUUGGACAAUGGGGGCAACCCUGACCCAGCAAUGCCGCGUGAGUGAAGAAGGCCUUCGGGUUGUAAAGCUCUUUUGUCAGGGAAGAAACACCGGCUCUAACACAGUCCGGGAAUGACGGUACCUGAAGAAUAAGCACCGGCUAACUACGUGCCAGCCGCCGCAGUAA